UAGAGCUGAAACAACUAAUCGAUUUAAUCGAUUAUAAUCGAUUAUUAAAAUAGUUAACAACUUUUUUAGUCAUCGAUUAGUUGUUUAAUAAUCAUAUUUUACCGCAUAAAGUCUAUUUUUACCACAAUCUGACAUCGGUUACAAGCUGUUAAAUUUGCCGCCAGUGUGUGGCAGUAAUGAGCCACUGAUCUACCAGUGGAGCCGUAGAAGAAGAAAUGAGCCAAUGAGUGCCCUCGAUUUUCAUGACGUAUCACGUUACUGACGCUCAUCUUGCUGUGAGAGAUGGCGGAACAAGAGGAAAUACGGAAGAAAAUAGAAGCGACAAAACUUUAGAGAAACCCCGGACAAAAACCUCACGAGUAUGGGAGCACUUCAGUCUAGAUGCCUUGAAAAGGCAAAAUAUGCAAAAACCAUCUAGCAUGGCACGGAAGCACGACGUCCCUAAGUGAACAUUUGAGACGAAAACGUGGGGGCUGAGGAAGAGCACCGCGGUCAAGUGAGCCGUCAUUUGGAAGAGCCAGCCCGAAAAAAACAAGCAACGAUGGACAACUACAUGGGGAACAAGACACUCACCCCCCAGCAAUUCAUACCACUUACAAACUCUAUUCUAAACAUGCUGGUAAAAGACAUGAGGCCACUAUCCAUGGUGGAAGGAGCAGGCUUCCAGCUAAUGCUAAAAAAUUAUUCUGGACUGAUAUUUUGCACUGUUUAGCUCAUUUUCUACUGCUGACUGUGUUCAUGUGCAAUAAAAUAGAUUGCAGUCAACUGCACAA